rnacentral:sRNA from 1 species
GGCAGGACCCGUGGCUGGCCAGUCCAUAUUCACUGUCCUUGUAGGAGACUGGACCUCAGAGUGGGGCAGGGACUUCCCACAGUCCUGCAGCAAAAGGCAGUGGCAGAACCAGUCUUGGGGCCCUGCCUCCUGGCUGACCCAGGUGCUAAAUGAUCCCUCACUAGGCACUGGGACUGUCAGCUCCCUGAGGCCCAGAAAUUGAGUUGAGGGGGGUCAGACCAGCACCAGGACCCAAAGACACUCUAAUUUCUGCGCCAGGAGAUGAGGGUCGGUAGAGUCCUGGAAUGGAGAUGUCCUUGACACCUGGGCAGAGGCUGCAGCUGCAGGACCCUGUGGCCACUGGAGAUAAGUAAUGGUGCCAUUUGAACACCUACUGGAAACGGGGCAGGAACAGUGAGUGACCCCAGGCGAGCACAGGCAGAUGCCAGGAGCCAGGAUGCAAGGAUGACACCUCCGGAGGCUCUGGCCUCCCUCCCACCUGGGCGUUAGGAGCCAUCCCGGGGCUCCAGCCAGGAGCCCUGCUG